CGCCAUGAUCGGCGCACAGGGGUGAGGCUCCGCGGGAGGUUGGUCAGCCUCUCUGUCAAGAGCCCCCACCGAGUCACCACCACGGCCAUGAGGCCCAGCCACGAGACCCUGCACUGACACCCUGUUGUGAGGAGUCAGCACUGCCCGCUGUGAAGCCCUGAAUUUAUUUUGUUCCCAUUUUAUUGGCAUCACAACAUCAUCGCAUCGUACUAUCAAAAAGAAGAAAGUGGGCUUCCCUUCUUGUCUAAUCUACACCUAGUUCUGUAAUUGAUGUGAAAUAGCUUUGGGAGAGAUAAGAAUAGGGAGAGGACGUCGCUUGGCCAACCAGGCAGCCAGAAUCAGCUGGUGAGCAGCAAGUGUUGGAUGUCAAAGGUAAUUGAUAGUUUCUCUGGCAACUUCAGAUUUUGUUUUUUUCUUUCAUUCUCGCCAAGGUAAGUUCAUAUAUGGAUUUAUUUUAUCAAUCCAGUUCUACACUCAGCAUAUUAUUUUAAUUUGAAGUUUCAUGUAAUCCUUCAAACUGGAAAGUUCUCACUUGUUUAUUAAUGCUCUGCUUUUUCCUCUUCAUUCUUCUGGAACUCCCAUUAGAUAUUGGUAAAUCUACUGAAUCUGUCCCCUAUGUGUCUCUAUUAUUAUUGUUAAUGAAAUAUAAUUCAUGUAUCAUAAAACACACCCUAUUAAGUCUAUACUAUGUUUAGUAUAUCCCCAAAGUUGUGCAACUAUCACUACUGUCUCAUUCUAGAACAUUUUCAUCACCCUCAAAAAAAUCAUGUACUCAUUAGCAGUCACUUCUCAUUCCUUACUCCCUCAACCCCUAGAAACCACAAAUUUACCUUCUAUCUCUAUGUGUUUGCUUGCUCUAGACAAUUCAUAUAAUUAGAAUUGUAUAAUAAGUGGCUUUUUGUUGUCUAGCUCCUUUUACUUAGUAUAUUUUCAAGGUUCAUCCAUGUUGGAGUUUGAAUCAGUACUUCAUUACUUUUUAUGGUAGAAUAAUAUUUUGUUAUAUGGAUAUACCAUAUUUUGUUUAUUCAUAUGGGCAUUUGAGUUGUGUAUACUUUGUGGCUAUUAUGAAUAAUACCUCUGCAAACAUUUGUGUAUAAGAGUUUGUGUCAACAUAUAUUUUUAGUUCUCUUGCAUGUACACUUAGGAAUUGAAUUGCUCGGUCAUAUGGUAUCUUUAUAUUUAACUUUUUGAGAAACUGCCAAACUGUUUUCUGAAGAGGCUGCACUAUUUUA